GCCAGGGUGGUGAAAUGGCAGACACGACGGCCUUAGGAGCCGUUGGGGGAAACCCCGUCCGGGUUCAAGUCCCGGCCCUGGCA
rnacentral:tRNA from 1 species